AGCUUACCCAGGGAGCGCGGACCCAGGCGCCGAGUCUUCCCGGAGAUGACCAGACCCGGCGCGGGGAGCGCAGCAGGCUACCCGGGACUCCGCGGCGCAGGCGGGGCAGCCAAUUGCUUAUCGUUCUCGAAACCAACCUGAAAUCAUUCCGUGCCUGUGACCAGAGACCAUACCAGACAUCAGUCCCGUGAGCAGCUGCAUGUGCUCACCUGCAUCUUCUCCAAAGAGUCAAAGGCAAGAGAAUCCACUGGUUUGCUGCCUUGAUGAAUAAUCAACUAGGUUUAUGGUUCACAGAAUAUAGAUUUCAUCUCAGAGAGUGAGAAUCUAAGAAGCAGGCCAGUGGAGCUGCAUAGCUAAGCAAUUUUCUUUGAACAUGUGAGUACCAUUGCUUUAUAAUACCUUGCAGACACUGAAUCCCAAAUCCAAGCUGCUGAGUUGCUUACCUGGGUACUUUUCCAGUUCCUGAAGUUUGGACUCAUUAAUGUCUGUGGCUAUGACUUUGGCACCUUCUCUUGCAAAAGCCUAGUAGACACAAAGUACAAAUAAAUCCUUUGUUUACUUGAAUAAACUGUGCUGAUGAAUGGAACAUCAUGUGGUCUUUUUCUCCUUUAUAUUAUUUUCGUUGUUGUUUUCCCUAUAAGAUAGCUAGAAUUUCAAACUAUCUAGUCUUACCCCCCCCAUUGUUGUUAUUUUAUCAUUAAUUAGAACAAUGUGACAUACGUUAUGUUUGUCAUCUCAGUCCCUUUAAGUAAUGUCAAACAAAAUAACAUUUUAAAAAAUGACAGCUGUUUUAAUACUCUCAAAAUACUGCUCUUCUGUAAUGAAUACCAUUCUGUAUACCAUUUCUGAGUUUGAGUUUCUAAACUCCAAAUAAUAAGAGAAAAAUGGAUUAUUUCAACAUUUUUCCUAUUAAGAAUAUGUUAGUGCUUUCAUAAAUGUCAAACCAUAUGCUACCAUUAUACUUAAGGUGCAGUGUUAACUCAAGUGGUAUAUACAGUGUAACAGAAAUUGAUAUAAAUCAAAAGACAAAGGUAAUCUGUCUUAUAACUCUAUAGUCAUAUAUCUAAAUUGAUUUAACUUCAGAAAGCUAUGUAACCCUGUUGGCCCUCUGUAGAAAAUUUAUGCUAUUAUGAAGCAGAGAAAGUGAAGUAGAGAAAUUUCUGAGUCAAAAUUUAUAAGUGAUGUCAUGUAAUAAACAUGAAAUAUUCAUUUCUUCAUCUGCCUGGGGAAUUUUUUUUUUUUAUAACUUAAGGCAACAGAAGCACAAAAGUAAAAAACAAAAAAAGCAGAGCAGAAGUAAACAGCUAUGGCAACAGUCCACAUAAUUAAAUACAUCAAUAAUUAGUAAGCAAACAACAAAGGUAGCAACUUACUAAGGCAGCUGCUUGGCCAAUCCCUUGAGCAGCGGCCGUCAGGAUGAUGACUUUCCCAUCAAGUCGACCCAUAACGGAACCUGUGUUUUAAUCUAAAGAUACGUCUGUUUAAUGGGUUAUACUGUAGAACAUGGUCUUGUGCAGGCAGUAACAUCUAGAAUGAAUAGUUCAUUAUGCUCCUUUAAGAAUAAUUUAGUGAGCUCCUUCAGGAACUUAAAGACAGUACCUCUGUGCAAGUAGUUGCAUCAUCUGAAUUCUCCCAGAAUGCUUAUUUUAAUACCUAGUGUUGUAUAUCAAACACAUUUAGCACAACCCACUGAAGUGGUGACUGAUGAGAGACAGUGGACUUUUUUUGUUUUGUUUUGAGACGGAGUUUUGCUCUUUGCACCCAGGCCCCAGGCUGGAGUAUAAAGGUGUGAUCUCGGCUCACUGCAGCCUCUGCCUCCCGGGUUCAAGCAAGUCUCCUGCCUCGGCCUCCUGAGUAGCUGGGACUACAGGUGCCAGCCACCAUGCCCAGCCAAUUUCUGUAUUUUUAGUAGUGAUGGGGUUUCACCAUGUUGGCCAGACUCGAACUCCUGACCUCAGGCGAUCCACCCACCUGGGCCUUCCAAAGUGCUGGGAUUAUAGGCAUGAGCCACCUCACCCGGUCCAGACACUGGAAUUUAGCCUACCCUACCCUUCCUUCAGUACCUGGAGAGGACAGCCUCUGGUGUUGAGAGUACUCACUGCCACCAUCAUUCUCCCCACCACUCCUGCACACAGUGCUAUGGAAUUGUUUGUGUCCUUACUACUCAGGGCUGCUUCUUGAUUUCUCUUCCAUAAACUUUUGUUGAGGUUUGCACUAUCAAUUGCUUAUGGUCUUUCCUUUUCUCUUGAAAAAAUUUCCUAGUUGGUCUCAGAUAUUCGUUGAACAAAAAGGAUGGAAAGAUCAAAUCACAUCUAAUACUCCCAUUUUGCAGAUGAGGAAACUGCUGAAACAUGCCCAAUGUCAUAGAGCCAGUCAAUGGGAAAGCCAGAACUAAACAGACUUCCUGACUCUUUUGAUAUGGGAACAGUUCAGCCCACAAUGCUGCCAAUUCUUUUUUAAAGUUUAAGCAUACAUUAUUAAUGCAUUAACAGGCAUAAUCAGUAAUUUCUAAAAGAUUGAGAAAAACUGACACGGGGCAAUGUGAUGUGCCUGAGAUAUUUCACCAGUGCUUGGAUUGUAGAUCACAAGGUGAGAGGAAUGGUUAGUGGUGAGGCUGGGGGUGAAGAGUCAAAUGACCAUCAAACCAGGCUGUCUUCAGGGAUUCAGGCUCCUUCUCUUGCUGGGCUCUGUCAUUAAUGUGUGCCUCUGACCUCAUACAAACUCACAAAGUGGCUGCUUUGUCUAAGGCAUCAUGGCCAUGUUUCAGACAAAAAGAAAGGGAGGAGCAAAAGCCAAAAGGCUUUCAGAGAGGCCUCGCCUUUCUAUACAAGAAGGAAACCUUCUCAGAAGUUCCCACCUGCAGUUCAUUGGCCAGAUCUAUGCUACUUGGCCACUCUAAGCUGCAAUGAGGUUGGGAAGUUGAGUAUGCUUCUUUAACAAUAAUUUAGUGAGCUCCUUCAGGACCUUUGAAGAGACUUUUGUUUCCAGCUUUGAUAAAGUGGAAAACAAGGAAAAGUGAGUUGGAUGGUGUUGAUAACCAACUUACAGUACAUGCACAAGUAGCCUACACAAUCACUCUGCUCCAUUACCUGCCUGAAUUUUUACAGGUUGCUAGCCCAGCCUAGAGAGCUUACAUUAUCUAGUCCUGUCUCUUUGAACCUAUCUCAGUUUUCUCUUUAGCCAAACUUUUUUUUUUAUACCGAAUAUACUCUUCCAUUUCAAACCUCCACACUUGGUUCAAGUUCCACAUGGUGAAGGGCAAGUUACUCCUAUAGGCAACAGCCACUGAAGGAUUUAUGGAAAGGGUGUAACAUAAUCAGAUUCGUAUUUUGGAAGGAUCACUGUGGAGAACAUACCUGGGCAGGAGCAGGGGGUGCAUUAGGAGGGUGCUAGGGUUAUCUAGAGGGGCAUGGGUAAAAUAGCAGGGCUGGAGAAAAGAGCAGGGAUGGAGAGAUUGGUGGAUUGGAGAAGUAUUUCAGAGAUAAGAGAUAGGUAGGGCCUGAUCACCAGUGGGACUAAUUGCAAAGAAAUAUGGUUUGCCCAGUGUUCCACAGCUAUGAAUUCAAACCUAGGCCUUCUUGUUGCAGGUCUAAGGGAAGAUCUCAUGGCAUUGUCUCAUGAUACUCACAGCCCUGCAGGCCUCUCUAAAUCCCCACUGUGGCACCAGAAGCCUGUGCCUCACAUACUGAGGCUCUCACCCCAGGAAGUAAUGGACAAUGAGGCGCAACUGUUGCUGCAUCUCUGAGCUUGUUCUGGGGCCUCCUUCUUGGGGCUGUAACAAGCCAAUGCCUGAGCAUGCAUGGUUACUAAGGCAGCCCCAUUUCUGGGAGACACAGAGCUCCUCCCCAACGUAUGACUGGCUGGAGAAGCUCCUUACUACCGGGCCGAAGCUCUCUUAGACUGCACAGCUGUCUGGGAUGCUUCCACUCAACCUGUCUUCCUGUUCUUCCUCCCUCACAGGUAGACUUGCAUCGAGGUCUGAUGGCUCUCACAGCCUCACCUAGUUCUCUCCUCAUUCUCUCUCACACCAGCAUCUCCCCUAAUAAAGUCCACACACAUUUAAUUCUAUCUUGGAGUCGGCUUCUUGGAGGGGCAGACUAACACAAUCAUGUAAGAACUGGCUCCGGGGAUCACGUUACAACCCACUGACUUCCUCUGAGUUUGUCCACAUUCUUUAGGCGAUGGGAAAGCUGGGCUUUAACAGUGCCUGACCUAUUUUGAUACACUGAAUUUUUGCUUUAUCUUUUUCUUCCACAAAAGAUAAACUUUCGCUUUCAACAUGGAAUGAUAUACUUUAGAAAGAUAUACUUUAUCUUUACCCUCCUUGGAUCCUAAGCAUGGUGUACAAAAAGCUAUUUUACAACCCUGUCAUUAGUGAUAUUUGGUGUAUGGCCCUGUAAAGCCUCCAGUCAAAAGUUUUGCUAGAAAUCUUUGACACCCAAAGAAGCACUUCCAGAACAAUUGUUGAAGCACAGAGCAGCCUUUCUACGCACUUUGAAAAGCCUCCUCUUAGCUGGCCUUCCUGUCUUUCUGGGACCUGAUUUUAGGGUCAAACCUUAACAUUUGAUAAAGCAUAAUCUCAAACUAAAACAUAUUUCUUUGAGAAAAUGAGUGCAAAGAUGGCCUGAAAUAGUAAAACAAGGCAACUCUCAAUAUAUCCAACGUGAAAACCAUACACGUUGGCUUUCUUAGUUCAAAAGUUGGAAUCAAAAUGUUGAUUUUUGCUAAGUGGAGACACAAACAGAGCAUAUUCAGGGACUCAUUGUUUUCAUGAGCCAGGAAGAAAAAUGUUCACUUAGGAUACCAUAAGAAUCCUCUUUUCUUUGGCUACUUUAUUAGACAUACAUACGACAGUUUCAAGCUCAUUAAAAACCCAUCGUUACACUGAUCUAACUGCUCAGGUUUAUUUUGAAAUAGGCAACGUACAGAACAAAACAUCUAACAAACCUCCCCUCUUUCUAAAGUUUCAUUUCGAAAGCAUUAGGAAAUCUUACUUUAAGCUGCGAAGUGACGGUGUUCUCCAGAACCCGGUGGAAGCAACAAACUCGAGACCUUUGUAUGGAAGCAAGUCAAGUGCUUAAUAAUAAUGCAUGCUGGGAUUUGUAGUUACCCUUUCAGAGUUUAGUGGCGCCAUCCGAGCUCUUUAUGAAUGUUUGUGCUGCCAUCUAGUGGAGUUCAGGUAGAACUAUGAAUUCCAAGCAGAAGAUGAAAAGUGGAAAAGCACCUUACAGCUUACUUAGGAUGUGCUGUGCUAGAGUAGACAAGAUUGGAUGAGCUGGAAACUGCGUGUGAAAGAUAGCAGAGCAACAAAAUAGAGGGAACCCACGUCACUGGAAAUUCUUGAGCCUUUCUGACACUUGACCUGGAAUGUUUUAAGGGAGAGAAAUAAAAAUUCCUUUGUGUUAAAAAUACAGUUGUGAUUUUUAUUUUUUCAUGCUCAGUCUAUUCUAACACUACUGCACAGUUAGUGGCAGAAUGCCAGGAGCCUGACUAAACUGGGGUUAGGGGUGGGGAGAAUGUGAAACUUGGAUGACAGGGUGAGGCUUAAAAGGGAAUGUUGAGUAACAGCAAAAAAACCUUGUUUGGGGCCAAAGAUUUAAAGAAGCAGAAGAUUCUUUUCUGAAGACAUGAGGAGUAAGUUGUGUGAUAAUAGUGUGUGUUUUGUGUGCAUGAAUGGACAUUGUAAAUGUUGGAUUCUAGGCUCCGACAAUCACUGUCAACAGAAGAUCAAGCUGCAAACAUUUAUGUUUUAAAACUUAAAUUAUAAGGCUAGUUAAAUGUUUCUAAUGACUAGUUUUAAUGUUCAUGGGUACAUUUUACCUAAGUGACCAUUUACAUUGUAUAGAAAAAGAUUCAUCCUAAGCACAGAUUGGAUAUUAGGAAUUAGUUUGGGGAAGAGGUUUUUUGUGGAUUCUUUCAUACUGCAGAAGAAAAACCAUUUGCCUUCUGGGGAAUUGAGCUAAAUUCUAAUCUAGUCUUUAAGACUAGAAUGCUAAAAACAAAAACAUGAAGGAAAUUAAAACCCCUUAUUAUUAAAUUGAUUUGUAAAAACAUUGUUACUGGAAAUUGAUUGGACUCGAGGCCUUCUUCCAGAAAAUAAGGACUUGAUUGUCAGGCUUAUGUUAGGUUCUGAACCUUAAUGCUGUGUAUUUGUAUUUAUUAAAAAUUGUUUCAAUGAAAAGUACAUUAGCAGUAUGAACUUCUGGUCCAGUUGGAAGUUCUUCCAUUUGAAAAAUGUGAUAUUUGAAUGGAACCGUUUGAAUUUCUUUAUUUUCUAGCCCCCCCCGCCCCCGACAGGAUAGAAUUUAAGCUAGAAUUUCCCCUUUGGUUAGAACAAAAAAUGAACAUGUUAUUUGUAAAUUGAUAUUUAGUAACUAGUGAUAAACUUGAAAUACUAGAGUACAUUAUAAGCCUGAAUCUUAGGUAGUUUUAUGAAAACGAAUCUUUUAGCUAUCUUUUGAACCUGUAUUCACAUUGGUUUUCAAGAUAUUUUAAGCUAUAUUAUUUCCUCUUUUCAGAGCUGCUGCUUAUUUUGGGGCUACUUUUUUUUUUAAUUACGUAAUUCACAAGAGGCUGCAUUUUUUUUUUUUUUCUGUAUAAGGCUUAUAACUAUGGCUGGUUGUUUUGCUCUAGUCUUUUAAGAAGGAUCAUUUUAUUUUUUAGAGUCACUUCUAAAGUCAUGUGGUAAUUAAC